rnacentral:rRNA from 1 species
AUGAGGACGAGGAUGCCGAGCUCAGGCGGCGGCGCUGGUCCGGGCCUCCGAGGGAUCAGACCGUACUCUGUCAACCUCUGCUUCCUCUUCCUCAAGACCUUGGCCGCCUGGUGCAGGGGAGACCGCAGCUCCGCGCUCGUAGGCCUGCCCAAUCCUCCUCUUGCUCCUCGCGCUGCUCUUCCCUUCCCCCGCCCCCACCCCCGCCAGUGCCGCCUCACUUACGGCUGGGACCCCGACACGGAGGUCCGGGUCUGGCCGCUCAACACCGAUGCAGGGGGCGCCGCGGUCGCGCUGGCACGGGCCUCUGACGGGGCCGUCAACUGGAGCCGCCCCGAUGCCCCCGCGGUGGAGGAGGUGGUAUGGCCCGACGGGGUCGACUUCGUCGCCGGCGACGGCGCCCUGGCGUUCGGCACCGGCGUCAGGGACAUGGACAUAGUAGGCCCGUUCGAGCUGGUGGUCUCCGACAGCGCUGGCGGGGGCCUCACAGAGCUCCAGCUGCCGUCGAUGAGUGCUGUACCACCCCGCCUCGCCCAGAUCUGCCGAGUGGGUGUCCUAUCUCCGGCGUUCUUGAGCACCAUUGGGUCGAGGAAGGAGAAGCCAUCCUAUGGACUAGAACAGUUUGUGUGA